AACGAACGCUGGCGGCUGGCCUCAAACAUGCAAGUCUAGGGGGUGUAGCAAUACAUCACCGGCGGACGGGUGCGUAACGCGUGGGAAUAUACCUAUCGAUUCGGAACAACUGAGGGAAACUUCAGCUAAUACCGAAUACGUCCUAACGGAGAAAGAUUUAUCGUCGAUAGAUUAGCCCGCGUUCGAUUAGCUAGUUGGUGGGGUAACGGCCCACCAAGGCGACGAUCGAUAGCUGUUCUGAGAGGAAGAUCAGCCACACUGGGACUGAGACACGGCCCAGACUCCUACGGGAGGCAGCAGUUGGGAAUCUUGGACAAUGGGGGGAAACCCUGAUCCAGCCAUGCCGCGUGAGUGAUGAAGGCCUUCGGUUGUAAACUACUUUCGUCGCACGACGAUAAUGACGGUAGUAGCGAGAAGAAGCUCCGGCUAACUUCGUGCCAGCAGCCGCGGU
rnacentral:rRNA from 1 species